UAAGAAUUUUCAGUUCUAUUCUUUAGAUACUGCUACAUCUACUAUUUUUACUGGAAACCAAAUUGUAAGCUGGUUUCUUUAUUCAUUUCUCUCCUCAGCCCCUCAUUUUAAUACCCUCCUAUUGAAUUCUAGGUCCAGAAAGCCAAAGGCAAUUUUCUCUCAAAUAUUUGACCCAAGUGUUGCAUUAUCAGCCACACCCUCACUCUUGGACAAAUUCUCCUCCCACCCAAUUCCAGGCAUGGAAAGGGUUUUGUUGAUAAGUUCUUACAGUCACAGGAAUCAUCCUAGUCAGCAAGCCGUGGGAGAGACAGAAAUAGAAACAGCAAAUUUGACCAAACCAAGGUCCAUGUUUGGGUGUUUUCAUUUAUCAAGCACACAAAUCUCUGAGCCUCAAUUCAGAUAUUUGUAUAAUCAGGAUAAGAAACCCUUAGGAUUAUUGUGUGCAGAAAAUGAAGAAUUCUAUAUAAAAGAUCGUAUACUAUGUUAUGACACUCAUGGUUAAACGGUAAUUCUUAGAUUGCAGAAAGGUUAAAGGCUACAGUUUGGAAAGACUGAUAGCAUAUGAUUUGUUUCAGAAUGUAAAAAGGGCAGCUCUCUGGCAUGUUCCUGACUGAGGAUCUCAUAACAUUUAACUUGAGGAACUUCCUCCUUUUCCAGCUUUGGGAGUCAAGGUGAGACUCCUGGGGACCUAGGUAGGAAGUAUCUGAAGACUUGGGAGAGGAGGCACAGUCCUUGGGAAGCCUGAUAAAGGGAAGAGGUUGGAGUCCGCGUGGCAGAAUGGCCGUUGUUUUCUUUCUCCUUAAUGGAUAUUAAGACUUAUUGGUAACAGCACUUAGGAUGGGUAAACUGACUUACAUAGAUAAAUACAGAAUGUGUAAAUGAUAAUUUCAAGUUUAUGCCAUUAAGCUCCUGGAUUCUAAGUAACUAAAAACACAGUUUAUUAAAUUAAAGGACAAGUUAGGUAGUGGCUAUAAUUAACAAAUCCUAUAGAGACCUGCCUAUCAGCAUGUAGACUUGUCUUCAUAAUUGAGUGACUUUAAGAAGGGAUGUCUUCUCUCCCUUCGCCUCACAAACCAACAUCCCCCCAGUCCCCAGUGCGAUUCCUAAGGUUGGUAACCCACCAGAGUCACACAGGCCCCUAUGUCUGAAAGUCUUUCUUGAAGUCUGCAUGUUCAAGGUUUGAAAGUUGGAAUCUGGUUAUUUAUUUUUUCACCUUCCUUCACUCCAAUGUUCUGGGUAUGGAUUGACCUUCCCACCUCCCUUCCUUUGCUAUUGGGACCUCAGAGGUCUUGAGGGGUGAGUAUGUCUCAUCCAGAGACAGGGUGUGCUGACUUCCCUAGGAGAUCAUGAGUUUAGGUUAAUGCUUUAAAAUCACUGGAGAAGCAGACAAAACUAUAAAAACAUUCUUGGGGCUUUGAGGAGAAUGAGGAGCAGAGUUAUGGAAGGAAGGGUGGGUGGGUGCAUAUUUAGAUAGGAGAGAGAAGGGGAAAGGGGGAACCCCCUCCUUGCCACCCAGGCUCUCCCAGGGCCAAAGUGACACCCCCUCCUCCUCCUGCCCUAAUCCCCCCAUUAAGGCAGCUCUGAGUUUGUUAUGACAGGGGCUGAAGGCUGCUGAAUUGCUGUUUGCUGUGUCUGCUAAUUGGACUGAAGGGUUGGAGUCUGGACACUGAAAGGGACCAUUGUUGCUGUUUACCUUCUACAGCCGCCUCCCUGGGGACCCUCUGGGUAAAGGGGAGCAGCAGCACCCCCUUAGGGUCAUUGCACCCAUUUCCUGCACAAGGGACUGCGGUGGGGAGACAGUUUGUCUCAUUGCCUUGGGGUGGUUUGAGCUUCUACAGCACAGAGGAGACAAGCCAACACCUGAGCCAGUCUCUUCUCCAGGCCAGGCCUAGGGGCCAUCCAGGAGCUCCCAGGAAAGAGGAUUUACAUGCUUGUCUUUCUCCUUUUUAUUCAUUCCCUUCUUCUUUAGGGAUCUUUGCUUUGCCUCUUCCUCCAGCUAAUCAGGCUUCACCCCUGCACCUUUUCUGACCUGCUUUCUUCUAGGUCAGUGAUUCUCAACUUGGUUAUGCACUGAAUCACCUGGGGAGCUUUUUUAAAAAUGUUGAUGUUUGGGCCCAGCCCCAGAUCCAUGAAAUCAGAGUAUGUGGAAAUGAUGCCUAGGCAUCAUUAUUAUUUAAUGUGCACCUGAGGUUAUGAACCACUGAUGUAGGCUCACCUCUCCACCUGGGAAACACAUACACACACGUAUGCAUGUACCCACAUGCCUGUGGAUGUGUACACGUGCACACACAAACACACCCCGGCCUUUCCCCGCCUCUCCUCCCAAACUCCUGAUAUCUAUAAUACUAUCAGACAGGUUGUAUGUCUUCUAAAUUAUUAUUACUAAAUUCCUUGUAGGAGCCUUAGCAUUUAGAAUGGAAUUUAGAGGUCUGUACUUUAUCUCCCACCUCAAUCUGAGCUCUUCCCCAAGGGGAGGGACUAUGAUUCCAUCUCCCUGUGGAUGUCCAAAUAGGAUCUAGAGGAAGACUGAGCUAAAUUAUCAGAGAUUCAAUGACUUUUGUGCUCUUCCUUCCUCAAAGUAAUAUUGGCAAUUUGGAGGUCUUCAGAGAGGAGAAACAUUCUUCAGGUAUCAUCUUUCCCUUUUCUUACUGUUUCCAAAUGUUUUUGCUUCUUCUCUUCCCUUUAGCUUCUCACCUGGGGCGGGUGGGUUCUGCACCACCCUCCCACCCUCCUUCCUCCGUGUGGACGAUAGAGCCACAUCCAGCACCACGGACAGCUCCCGGGCGACCAAAAAGAAGAAUGUACUUCAUCUGGUUGGGCUGGAUUCCCUCUGAUAAGCCUUCCCAGUUGACUGAAAGAUGAGGCUAGGCUCUAGCAAGUUGAAGUCAAACCAGCUCCUUCAAGAAGCUUUGAGCAGAAUGAAGUGGGGAGGACCCAGCUUCCAGCCCAGGAAGCCCACUGUACCUGGAGCCAUCUGGGAUAAGACUUUGACCCAUGACUCCCAUAUCCACAGCCUGUCCAUCCUAGCCCAUCCCAGUUUAUCCUGUAUCAUUUGAGCUGGGAUUCCCACAUCCUCUGAGUUGGAAGUCCCAUCUCAAGUCUUCAAUAAAGACUCUUGAAUAUUGAAUCACAUUAAUA
ensembl:lncRNA MIR9-1HG MIR9-1 host gene